rnacentral:rRNA from 1 species
AACGAACGCUGGCGGCAGGCCUAACACAUGCAAGUCGAACGCCCUAGCAAUAGGGAGUGGCGCACGGGUGAGUAACGCGUGGGAACGUGCCUUUCAGUCUGGAAUAACUGCGGGAAACUGCAGCUAAUACCGGAUAUUCUCUACGGAGGAAAGAUUUAUCGCUGAAAGAUCGGCCCGCGUUAGAUUAGGUAGUUGGUGGGGUAAUGGCCUACCAAGCCUACGAUCUAUAGCUGGUCUGAGAGGAUGAUCAGCCACACUGGAACUGAGACACGGUCCAGACUCCUACGGGAGGCAGCAGUGGGGGAUAUUGGACAAUGGGCGCAAGCCUGAUCCAGCCAUGCCGCGUGAGUGACGAAGGCCUUAGGGUUGUAAAGCUCUUUUGUCAGGGAAGAUAAUGACGGUACCUGAAGAAUAAGACACGGCUAACUUCGUGCCAGCAGCCGCCGUAA